UUUGGUAAACGCAGAAGAAGAGAUUGUUGCAGGAAGUGUGCAAAUCGGAGAGUAGUGUGUGAAGACAUGGACAUUUUUGAGGGGGAAAUAAACUUUUUUUCGUCGCAAAGGCAUUAUCUCCGUGAUCGAUUAUUCUGGGCUUUUGGUGAAGCGAGCGGUGGAAAAACAGGAGAAGAGAGAGGAAUAAUAGACGGAUGGUGACCUCAUGUCUCUGGAGCAGGAGAUGGCUUGAUCCUAAGAUAGAAGGUUGAAAAACAACACUACACACAGGAGAAACCGAGAACUACUGCAUACGGUGAAAUGGUGAGGAGCCCAGUUCAGAUGGAUAACAAUGUACCCACAUAGGACUUGGU